CAUACAGAUUAUUAGGAUGAUGGCAAGACCUUUUUUCUUUGGUAACCGGUACCAAUCGAUCAUGUACGAGCUCUCACAUACUUUCAUAGUCUUUAUCAAAAACUGGCGCGCUAUAAAGGAGUCUUGCGGCAAGUAAUAACGGAUGUACCUGUUCCGCUAAAAGUUCACCUAUGUAACAGAAUAUGAAUAUAUUGAACGUAACCGAGA